GACGAACGCUGGCGGCGUGCUUAACACAUGCAAGUCGAACGGAAAGUCUCUGCUUUUGUGUGGUGCUCGAGUGGCUAUCAGUUGCGUAACGCUUGAUUACCCUUCCCUUGACUUUGGGAUAACUUCAGGAAACUGGUGCUAAUACCGGAUAGUAGCUCCUGCUGUUUGUUGUUGGUUGGAAAGUUUCGGCGGUUGGGGAUUGACGCGCGGCUUAUCAGCCUGUUGGUGGGGUAGUUGCUUACCAAGGAUUUGACUGGUAGCCGGACUGAGAGGGUGACCGGCCACAGUGGGACUGAGGUACGAGCAAGACGCAUACGGGAGGAAGCAGUGGGGAAUAUAGCGAAAAGGGCGGAGGGAGGAUGCAGGAACGCCGGGUGGGAGAUGACGGUUGUAGGGGUGGAAACCGUGUGAGACUGUGAAGAAGAGUGAGUGACGGUAAUGGGUAAAGAAGCAACGGCUAACUACGUG
rnacentral:rRNA from 1 species